CCUUAUCAUAGGUAUAUAUUUAUACAAACAUGAACGUUAUAUAUUAGAAGUAUAUAUUAGACAGAUAGAGUUGGUCCAAAUUCGAAUAAAGAUACUAGUCUUGCUGUUUUUAGGAUCUUAGCCAAGUGGGAUUAAGUUCCUCAAAUUUCUCGUAAUAACAGAUAAGUGUCGGCAGGUUAAUUAGAAUCACAAAUAAAAGCUGUUGCUUCUCAUAUGAAAGAGUUUUCUACCAUGUUUAAUAGAUACGGGAAUUCAAAGUUCAAGCAGUUCUUUUUGAAAAUCAUAGCAAUCAGAUAACAAUGACUCAUUAGGAACUAAAAGAGAAAAUAAAAAAGAAAUUUUAUUAAGCAAUGAAUGCAAAUCACAAACCAAUAGUAGAAUAAUGACCAAAGUAGAAUAAUAUCACUAACAGCUACUUGAUCUUUUACUUAUUUAUUAUUUAUUUAUUUUCUAUCCUUUUUAUUCUUUUUGUCACUAUCUUGAUUUAAUUUCAGGCUCAAUUCAUGGUGGACCAGUUGGUUGAUCUGCAAAUCUAUUCAAUAAUGCAUGGCCAUGGACAUCUUCUAUACGACAGAAAUAUUCACACACAAACAAAUCGAAAUAGUGGCAGAGAGAAAAGAUGAUAGCGCCAAAAUUCUCAAACCGGAUCUGACGAAUUUCCACAAACUUCUGCCUCCUUGCAACCAUGUCGGCGUAACUCCGAUUACAUUGACGUAGAAGAUGAAAAUAGUGAAGAAUAAGAUCUCAACCUUUCUCUAUACUGAAUGAGACAUUCAACAAGAAUUCAUCACGAUAAUUGAGGCAACUAAACUCUCUCUAGGUUGAGGUCUUUCAGUUUCACGGGCAAUACAC
rnacentral:lncRNA from 1 species